CUACGGGACGCUGCAGUGAGGAAUAUUGCACAAUGGGGGGAACCCUGAUGCAGCAACGCCGCGUGGAGGAUGACGCAUUUCGGUGUGUAAACUCCUUUUAUAUGGCAAGAAAAUGACGGUAGCAUAUGAAUAAGCACCGGCUAACUCCGUGCCAGCAGCCGCGGUAAUACGGAGGGUGCAAGCGUUACUCGGAAUGACUGGGCGUAAAGGACGCGUAGGCGGGUUGGAAAGUCAGGUGUGAAAUCCUACAGCUUAACUGUAGAACUGCACUUGAAACUUGUAAUCUAGAGUAUGGGAGGGGGAGAUGGAAUUAGUGGUGUAGGGGUAAAAUCCGUAGAUAUCACUAGGAAUACCUAAAGCGAAGGCGAUCUCCUGGAACAUUACUGACGCUAAGGCGUGAAAGCGUGGGGAGCAAACAGGAUUAGAUACCCCGGUAGUC
rnacentral:rRNA from 1 species